rnacentral:rRNA from 1 species
UACGUAGGGGGCAAGCGUUGUCCGGAUUUAUUGGGCGUAAAGAGCUCGUAGGUGGUUCGGUAAGUCGGAUGUGAAAUCUCCAGGCUCAACCUGGAGGGGUCAUUCGAUACUGCCGUGACUAGAGUUCGGUAGGGGAGUGUGGAAUUCCUGGUGGAGCGGUGGAAUGCGCAGAUAUCAGGAGGAACACCAACGGCGAAGGCAGCUCGCUGGGACGGUACUGACGCUGAGACGCGAAAGCGUGGGGAGCGAACAGG